AUUGAACGCUGGCGGCAGGCUUAACACAUGCAAGUCGAGCGAGCGGCGGACGGGUGAGUAAUGUCUGGGAAACUGCCUGAUGGAGGGGGAUAACUACUGGAAACUGUAGCUAAUACCUCAUACCAUCAGAUGUGCCCAGAUGGGAGUAGCUAGUAGGUGGGGUAAUGGCUCACCUAGGCGACGAUCCCUAGCUGGUCUGAGAGGAUGACCAGCAACACUGGAACUGGGAAACGGUCAAGACUCCUACGGGAGGCAGCAGUGGGGAAUAUUGCGCAAGGGGCGCAAGCCGGACGAAGCCAGGCGGGGUGAGUGAAGAAGGCCUUCGGGUUGUAAAGCACUUUCGGAGAGGAGGCGUUACUCGAAGAAGAAGCACCGGCUAACUCCGUGCCAGCAGCCGCGGUAAUAC
rnacentral:rRNA from 1 species